GCUGUGCGGUGCAGGGGGCGAGGCUGGGGCCCCCACUGGCAGGAAGAUGGAGCGCUGGGUCUCCAUCAUCGCUUGGCACUGAGGGUGCGCGUGUGACGCCAGUAUGAGAGAGGGCUAGUCCCGGGGAAGAGCUAUUUGCGCUGGAUUGUAAAGGGGAAAGAGGGUUUUGGCUCACUCUGUGGGCCUUUCCAAAUCCUCCAUGCUGGGGUUUGGGCAAAGCCCAGAGCUGCCUCGGGGCUCUCCCAGAAUGAGCCUGCAUUGGCUCCUUCAGCAAUGGGUUUGAAUCCAAACCUCCCCCUGGGUUGCUCAGCAGAAGAGGACUUCUGGUCCUCGCAGGCCUGGCCCUGGGCUCGUCUGGCACAGACAAGGGGACCGGUCCCUUUGGCUGAGCUGUACUCUCUGCUCUUACCUUGAGCUGGAGAUGGGCUGAUCUCCAGUCCGGGGUCUGGUCUCAAUGGAUGUUUCAGGGAUUCUCAGGACAUGGUCUUGGACCCGUCUCCAUCUGCCUGCGCCGAGUCACAUGGGGUCCAGGGCCUUGCUUCCGGUGCUGAUUGUGGCUCGCCCCUCCUCACCAGCCAACUGGGUCAGCACUGCAGGACAAGCAGACCUUCUGAGCCAAGACUUCGGUGGAGGGUUAUUAUUUGGUUGCGUUUGGAAUGGGCAAGGCGAACAGUUUCCACUUCCCCGAGGGCAGCCGGAUUGUAAACCCUGGAUUACGCGCUGCACGUCUGUCCCAGCUGCCUUGGGAGAGCCUGCGGGAGGAGCAUCGACGGGACACGCUCCUGGGGCUGGCGUCCGUUCUCUCCUGCCUCCAUCUACAAAAACGGGGAAACUGAGGCCCAGAGGAGCCAAGGACUUGCUAGCCACCUCCCAAUCAGAGACCUCCGUGAUGAGAGCAAGGAUUGGCAUUGAGGAUUUAUCUUGGGCAAAGCUCUGUUCUACUUCCUGGACCGGCGUCCUCAUCUUCUUGGCCGCUCUUGUGAAUCUUGACUACCCUGCUCCCGGUGCCUGGAUGUGCCCUAUAGAAACAACUCGGUUUUCUUUGCCCUCGCCUUCUGAAAGCAAGCACGGCUACUAACAGCGGUGAUGUUAGCUCUACGAACUCCCUCUGUGCGCACCCCACCUUCCAAGAUGGAGAAAGUCUUCCCCGGGCCUUGGAUUUGGGCUCUUGGCCACUGUAUUGCCAGACCACCGUGAGCAGGAAUUUUAGGAGAGUCUAUUGGGACAGGACAUCUAGCAAGGAGGCUGGGUCCCUAGCAUCUGGAGCACACGCAGCCCCUAACCUAUGUUCCGUCCUCGCUGGAGAGAGCUAUGGACUUGAGCAAGCUGAACCAGUUUGGUGCAUGGGCUUUGACCAGGGAUCUGGAACAACGGGCUGGGCCACUUUGAGCUCCCCAAGGCUCCUGCUUAUUUAUUUUACCAACAUAACUUGAAGCCAAUAUUUAAGCAUUACCAAAGCAACAGCUCCAGCCCUCCAGCCCUUGGUCCCCAUCCAGCCCACAUGGUGGGGAUGGAGCGGGAGGAGGAGCAAGGAAAAUGAGUCAACCAUGCCCCCCACCUCCCAACCACCUGGGAAAACAGUGACCCAAAAAACAGAUCCCAGCCUCUCUUCCAGGGUAAUUGUUCUUUCCCGUGGUCCUACGGCUCUGUGCCUUUCACGCAAGCGGAACAAAGUCGAGGAAGACCUCUGUCUCCGUAUUUUAUUUUACUUUUGUUGUUACGGUUGGAGCCAACAGGCUUUUCAAACCUCUUAUUGACAUUUAAUAUACAUGAAGAAAGUGUACAAACCAUGAGUGGACAAUUUUUGGGUCACAGACUGAAGCGGCCUUUCACUGGCACCCAGACUAAGCAAUGGCAUGUGAGCAGCCCCCCCCCAAGGCCCCCUGGUCCCCGCUCCUCAUUACUACAUCCCCAGGGUAAUCAUUACGCUAACUGCUCACAGCAUAGCUCAGUUUUGCCUGUUUUCGUACUUUGUAUAAAUGGACUCAUAUGCUAUGUUCUCUCCUGGAUUGAGACCAGAAGCAUUUUUAGUUCCUGAGAGAUGUGAGUGGCCCCCUUCUCACCACCAGCUCGGGGGG
rnacentral:lncRNA from 1 species